ensembl:lncRNA
GCAAUAUAAUCAAGGGCAGAGAAGAAGCUGAAAAACAAGAAAGAACUAAAGGUUCUGUUGAAAAAAGUAUCCAAAAAAGCACAAAAGUACAAGAAAAAACUCCAGCACAUUAAAAAGAAAAAUGCAUCUCCAGGCACAAAAGUAAACGAACAGCUGAGACAGCUUCCAAGUGUGGCCGCUCAGAAGUCCCUUUUGUUUCAUGAAGCUCUGGUGGAGGGCAUCCGAAACAAAUACAAAAAUGCAGAGGGGGAGAGGGAAAAGCAAAUCAUUUCAAAAGUGAUAACAGGAAAAGUACAAAUGCAAUGCUUUGCUCAAAAUUCAUUGGGCUUUUCAAUUAAAAGAUGCAAAAAUGAGAAGAAUAUAAAGGUUAACUACACCUACUAAAGGAAGCAGAACAACAGGGUUGCAGAUGGUCUGAUACGCAGAGUGGGGGUUUUUACUCAAUGGAUGACGUGAGUCGCAUCAGAACUGGGAAGAGGCAAUCAGAAGAAUAACAAAAAGCAAAAACGGUUCCUUUUGGAUACCAUGAAAAAUUUGCACAGGAAGUUUUUGGCUGAAGAACAAAGCUCCAUCUCUUACUCACUCUUCUGUAAGCUCAGACCUUUUUGGAUUGUUCAUCCGACCCGGAGUGAUCAGGACACGUGCAUGUGCAGGAUGCUUGAGAAUCUGGGUUUUCUUGUGUAAAAGCUACACUACUUCAUAGUAAUCAGUACCAUCAAUCUGGAUGACCUUUUGAAAGAGAUAUCAUGUGACACAGAAAAUAUGAAGUGUAUGUAUGGAGAAUGUUCGGAGUGCAAGGACCGUUCUUGCCCAGUCUCUACAGAGUACAAUCCAGAGAAUAAAGUGUCUUAUAUUCAGUGGGUAGUUGUGGAUAAGCAGCAUGACCCCAUUGGCAAAACCUCUAAAAUCACAAUUAAAAAAAAAGAGUUCCACACCACUCUAGAAGAAUUGCUGGAACAGCUAAACCUGCUGCUGCAUAGGUUUAAGAGACACACUUUUAACAUCAACAAUCAGUUUAUCCACUACAGGGCAUUGAGACAAAGCUUAAAAGCACAUGAAUGCUUAAUUUAUGUUGACUUUUCUGAAAACUACCUCUGCAAGUACAGCACAGAAAUACAGUCAGUCCACUCCGGAGCAUCACAUCAGCAGGCAACACUGCACACGUGUGUGCUUUAUGUGUAUGCAACCCCUCAAUUGAUGUGCUUCUGCACUGUCACUCUCAAGAAAAAAGGGCCCACCAGCAAUCUGGCAACACUUGUCACCAGUGCUAAUUUUUUCUUGAGUUGUACUGAGCUGCUCAGGCGAGGAUUCACUGCAGGGACGUGGAACUUUUUUGAGGCGAGCCACGGGAAGGGUGCCCCGGGAUGGUGUUGGAGGGGCCCUGAAGAGGAGGGCUGACAGUCUAGUCAGCCAAGGAAGAGACAUUCCUGAUGCUGAAGACCUGUUUGCUGUGUUGCAAGAGACAGACACAAAAAUCAAGUUGUUUAUUGUCAGCGAGGAAGCAGUUGAUAAAGCAGUUUCAGAGAUGCCCAAUGAUGAGCCACCAGUUCCGUCCAUUAUGAGGAUCCAUUAGGUAGUGUCCCUAGCCCAUGGAGAACUGACAUACAGGGACGUCAGCUGCUUGUGCACAACAACACAAACUCUGAACUGUGGGUGCUUUAAUGCAAAGCAUUUCAAGUUCAGCAACCAGCAGACAGCUCCCAUGGCUCCCAUAGUGACAGACGUUGUUGGUAAUGUCGUGAAGUUGUUGGCAAAUGGAGUGUGCUGAAGUACGAUGGUAAUCUGUACCCUGGUGUCAUCACAGAUACAAGUGAAACACAUGUUGAAGUCCGUUGUAUGCAAAAGAUUGGGGUCAACAGAUGAAGAUGGAGAGAACCCAGAAGCCUAGGGCACAUGGCACAUAUCUUCAGAAAUCGGUCUCUCACACACACAAGCUAUGCACACUCACGGACACACACACACACACGGACACACACACACACACACACAUUCCUGUUGCUCAGAUUUCAUUCCUAUUACGCA